UCCCAUGCUGUGGCCCUCUAGAGAAAGCACUUUCUGUUUGUUGUCUGAGAAAAAAACAAAGUGCUUCCCUUUAGAGUGUGGCCGUUUGGGA
rnacentral:pre_miRNA from 1 species